rnacentral:rRNA from 1 species
GGAUAGCUGCAGAUGCUUACACAUGCAAGUCGACUCGAGUCCUCGGACUUGGGUGGCGCACGGGUGAGUAACGCGUAAAGAACUUGCCUCUUAGACCGGGACAACAUCUGGAAACGGAUGCUAAUACCGGAUAUUAUGGUUUUUUCGCAUGGAGGAAUCAUGAAAGCUAGAUGCGCUAAGAGAGAGCUUUGCGUCCCAUUAGCUGGUUGGUGAGGUAACGGCCCACCAAGGCAAUGAUGGGUAGCCGGCCUGAGAGGGUGAACGGCCACAAGGGGACUGAGACACGGCCCUUACUCCUACGGGAGGCAGCAGUGGGGAAUAUUGGACAAUGGACCACAAGUCUGAUCCAGCAAUUCUGUGUGCACGAUGACGUUUUUCGGAAUGUAAAGUGCUUUCAGUCGGGAAGAAGUCAGUGACGGUACCGACAGAAGAAGCGACGGCUAAAUACGUGCCAGCAGCCGCGGUAAU